UCAACGGCCCUUUUCAGGGCCACCAAAAAAAAAUCACUUGUCAACU
rfam:Rhodnius prolixus Rhodnius_prolixus-3.0.3-144.15, whole genome shotgun sequence.